AGAAGACAGAAGAUAAAGAUAAACCCCUUAUUUAUAAAGAUAAAGAAACUGAGGCACAAGGAGUUUAAUUACUUGCCAUAAGUGAAAAUGUUAGUAAAUG
rnacentral:sRNA from 2 species